AAUUCCUAGCACCACAUUAAAAAAAUAAAAAUAUUGUGUCCAUCUAUAAUUUAAAAUAUUUUUAAAAUGUUAUUUCCAGCCAACUGACUAGUGGCAGAACAGAGAUAAAGACUCGGUAUUUGUUUCAUUCUCAUUUUCACUCUUGGUUUUGUUUUGUGCUACCAUGUUCUUUUAAUAUCUAGAACUUUAAUAAAAUCCUGUCAGAUGAAACCCUAUGCUAAGAUGAUAGGAGGGCCCAUGUCUAUAAAAGUGCCCUGAGAUUUCUCGGUUGAGCAGUUUGUCUGCGUGGUAUACUAGAAAGCACUCACACCCUCAAGGAGCAGAGUCUGACCAGCCAGGAUAUAUGUUCCAGGGGACAGGCUGGUGUCCUAUGUGGCAUGCAACUUCAGGAAAGUACAAGAAAGGUCUUUUUUUCCUCAUGUAGAACUUAUGCCUUUGGCUUCCUGGGGUUGGGCAAUGCUGCCCUGAUCUGCCACUGCAUACUUAAACAGUGACAUGGACAUCACCGGUGCUUUUGCUUUUGCUACUUUUUGCUCAAAGAAGUCAAGUACAAGGUGAAUCUGCCAUAUAUGGAGUAAAAGGGAAGUAUAUAAUCAUAACUACUAAACCAGAGGCUGAAUAUGGGGUUGAUCAUAUAUAUGUGAUACCAUGUCCUAAGUAGAGGCCAAAUGUGACUGUGUGUGUGACACUAUCUCCUGAACCAGAGUUUGGAUGCAUGGUCAACCACGUGUGUGUGACACCAUCUUCUGGACCAGAGUUGAGUUGUUGGCUGAUCAAACAUUUGAACCUAAGACUCUGAAACGCCAACCCUUGUGGUAUAUUUAUUCAAGAGUCCUCAUUUAAUUAGUUUUUAUUUUAAUGUUAUCAUUAUCUUAAUAGCUAUGGCUGAAGACUGUUUUCUUUUUCUGUCCUGACUUUUAUUUUAGCAGCUUUUGUUAGCUUCUUAGAUUUGACUGUGGAGCAUCUCUGAGGCACCUGGAAAGGGAAGAGGCUACUACUUUGUCAUAUGGUUAGGCCAAUUUUCCUCUUUAAAGACAUCAAGAGCAGAGGGAGGGGGAUGAGGAUAGAAAGUACAUUCCUUGCCUGUAUGGUUUUGUUAAAAUGAAUCCGGUUAAAUGCUCUAAUUUUUAAAAAUGUGAAGAACACGCCUCUAUAAGAUCUAAAUGCUGUCCAGCUUCCACGGAAGUCAUGCUGUGGGCUGCACCAGCCUGUUCCCAGCGUGGCCAGGAAGUGCUGCUUGCAGAUUCUCUGGCCCUUCUCAGGCUUGGGGAAUGAGACCUGCCAACAUCUCACUCCGGUUUUGAAGCCUUAGGGAAGUUGUGCCACCCUUGUGAAGAGUUCUUAGAAGCUGCCUGCAGCAGCUCCUCCAGGUCAGCGCCCCGAGGGGCCAGUGCAGAACAGAGGAAGGAUCAGAGAAGGAGGCUACUGGAGGCUCUGAAAGGACAGGACAUGAAGCUGGCUGGCCUUGCUGUGCUAUGAGAACAUUAGGUACUGAGAUGUGCUUUUCCAGGAAACCAGAAUGUGCUCAUUUCUGAUGUUCAGUUGGAAAUAGGAGCAGGGUGUAUUCAGACACUUCCCAAAUUCUGGGGACACACCAGUAAGAGAUUAAAUCCUGAUUUCUGAAGGUAGACAGCAGUCAAGCACACCAGAGUACCCCUGGGCCUAGGGAGAGUUGUGAGGUGCAUAGAGCAGGUAUGUUUCCUCUGUGGGCCAUCUUCAUGGCUGCAAGACCCGAGUGGYGCCCCACAGCCAGAGUGUGGUCAAGGUCUUGGGCAGCUCUGUGUAGGGCAGCGGGAGAUAGCAGCAGAGGAAGCAGACCCCUCCCACUUCACUCCAAGCUUGUCUCACUGCAUGGGAAGUCAGGUGAGCAGCAGGGUGAAUGUUCAAUGACGUAGGUUAGACGUGACAACCACCAGGGUGUGGGGAGCAGAGGGCCCCUGGGAUGGCGAGGGCCUGGGGCACCUUCCUGUAAGUGGGCAGCAGUGGGGCCUGCACUGUCUACCCAUGACCAUGCCAGUGCUGUUGUGGGUGCCUCCAAGCAGGAGGGAAUCACUGCACCUGCUCUGCCUCACAGGCCUGUCUCUGGCUCCUUGGUGCACAGGCUUGGGACACCACUUCACAGAGUCCUUGCUGCUGGGUGAUAAGAGUACAUCUAUAAAACAGAUGCCUGUCACCGAGCAGUGUCUGCUAACAUUCCCCAAGGACCAACAGUGGAAAUGGUGGAGAGGUCUGUGAGCUAGCACUCCCGCAAGGCAGCUGGAACACCCACAGCAAUGUGGCACGAGGGCAGGGUAGAGCGAGGAGAUCCACAGAAGGCCAGCCCUUCACAGGGAUGCAGGUUUUGAAAGUGAAUCUAGUAAUGCAGACGAGCAUCCGAAUCAAUAACGUGGUGUGGCCUGAUAUGGGUGGUUUUCCUUAUUUUAUAGGCCUCAUGUGAUGGAGUUUUAUCAUUUUUUAGAUUUUAGGACAAAACCAUAGAUUUAGAAUUCUACAUUUAAUAACUCAAACUUUUGUAUGAUUCCAAAAGUAUGAGCCAAAUUUCAUGAAAUUUUCUUUUGAUUGUGCCUGCAGUCUAGCAAUCAAUGAAAAAAUGUAACUGGUAGCUUGGUUGGAGUUGAUAUGAAGUCAUUUAAAGGAUCAGCUCCUUCCUUUUAGCCCCGCGUCGCCGUCGCCCCGCAUCACCGUCUGAUCAUCUGACUGGUACUGACCUCCUGGCUGCUGCCUCUGAGCUGCACAGGGUGGGCACAGGCAUGGCUUGGGGAUGAUGAGAGUGGUCUCUUGGUGCAGAAGACACCACAGCUGCGUGACUCACAGGAUAGCCCCAGGCUUCUCAGACAGACUUGAUCGGUCGCCUGGAGAAAACCAUAGAGAAUUGACUUCUCAGAUUUUGUGAAGCUGAAGAGGAGUUUUAACCUACAGCGCACAUUGCACAGCUCUAAUAAAGCAGAUGAUACCCGUGGGCGUGGAACUCUGGCAGAAAACAGAGCUGGCCAAAAAAAAAAAAAACGCAAAUGGAAACAGCUGCUGCCUUCUUCACUCCACUGGAGACGGUGAGGCCAUGCAGCCCCCCACAGAGGGGUGCUGGCUUCACAGCCUGAAGGGGUUGUCACCAACUCAUGUGUCUCAUGUUGGUGUGGGUUUGGGACAGACCUCCUUUCUUAAGUGUGCCUUGUCCUGUGUCCCUCAUCGAUCUGGUGGAAAGUAGAUCUGGAGUGUGAGUGGCUUCUUCAGUAGCUUGAGGUUCCAGUCCACCCACUUGUCUGUAUGGGCAAGGGUCCGCCACGUGUCAUCCUAAGCAAGGGGACAAGAGGGCAGUAUCUCCCCUUCAUGUAAGGUGCCCGAUGUGCCUGGCGGAGACAAGCCACUGUCAUCUUGAAUUCCUCAUCACUCCAUUCCUUCACUCUCGUGUUUCACCAUGAAGCAUGCUGCAUGCACACAAACGAAGCUGAGAGGCCAGCACAAGGGCCCUUGUGUGCCCCUUGCCCUAACAGUAACUACCCACAGCCACCUUGCAGUGUUCCCCAACCUACUACCUCCCCACAGACUAUUUUGAAGCAAAUCUCCAAAUUCUGUAAUUCCAUCUGCAAGUAUUUUAGUGCCUCUAAAAGACACUGAUCGUAUUUUAAUGAAAUCACAGUAUCAUAAUCCUAAUUAAUCACAGGAGUAACUCUUAACUCCUAAUGUUAAAAUCUUGUCUCAACUAUCCAUGAACAGUGUGUUGACAGCUGGAGCAGUCUCUCCCUCUCUCUCUCAUUGCUUGCCAAGUUCACUUGAAGUCCACUUGCCAAGGAAGCAAGAUGACUUGUGAGUCCCCACACUGGAUGUCACCAAUGGUAGUCCUGUGGUCUCUUCUCCGUCUUCCCAGACGUCAGUAGAUUUUGAGGUUUCAGUUUCUCAUCAGCAGUACUUUAUGUUCAUAUAAGUCUCACUGGUUAAGUGAGCAAAUUAGAACUGCUUCUACUAGUUAGAUAACAAUGUAUGGAGACAGAAAUCUUUGUGUGAUGUGUUAUCACUGAGUCUUGAGUUUGCCAAUCUGACACAGACUCCAUUUUUUACGAAGAGCCGAAGCUGCACUUUAGAUCAUCCAAUCAGAUGCAGCAGGACUGGCUGUCCUCUCCAGGGCCCUUCCUGCCUGCAAGGUGGCACCUACCUUCACGCAGACAGCUCAGGACAAUAGUCCCCACACCUGCCGAUGGGUCACAGUGGCUGGGAAGCACCUCUCCCCGUCUCAGCUUCUCCUCAAGGGUAUGUUUUCUACUCUUUGUGUUACCCCACUCUGCAUUAGUAUAAAUAUCACUGGCUUUCUCUAGCAACAAAUCUCCCGGAUUUUCUGGUCCAUUAGUUAAGGACUGUUUCUCUCGUCCUUGUGGUUGCCCUUACAGCUCAUGAAGCCCCUGUAUCAGCACUAUUUUCUAUGCUCCUAACUGGCUGGUAGCCUGAUUGACAUGUCUUCUUCCAAGGGACAGCAGCAAUGACGCACCCCGUCUGUGUCCUUGCCCCUGUGGCCAUCAUCUUCAUUAUUGCUGCGCAGAGACUAUUUCUGGUGGUGCAUCCCAGCGACAGCUGUGGGCCACAUUUAACCUGCAACUGAAGGCUCACAUGGGACCCUUUGUGCUUCAGCCAUGCAGACAGCUCUGCCUGACAUAAGCGGCAGCAGCAGGGUAACUGUGACUCGGGAGUCUCUGGAGAUUCAGGUAGUCCAGGUUUCCUUUUAGAAACUUCAGAGUCAAGCUAUUCUUAGCAAUGACUUCCAAGCUCCAGCUGCCUGGCCAGCUCCCUGCCUGUGUCUCAGAUACCCAGUGGCCUUAAAAGGAGAGGACUGGAGAAAUGUCACCCUGAGUCAGAGCCCGGCUGCACAGGCCAGCAGUCAACUCCACUGUCUCCACGACCCAGGGCCCUGGAGAUGAGCCCAGGGGGACUGGGGCUAGGUGUCCCCUUGCUUUGUCUUCUGACGGUCACAUUUCUUGCAGAACCAAGCUACCUGGAAUCCAGUGUGCUUGGUGGAAGCACCCCACAUGCCACCUGUGUGGUGUUGCCCCAGAGCUGGGCAUCCUGGAGUGGGCCUUUGCCAGAUAGACUCUGGAGGCUCUUGGUGGGCCAGGCCUUCCUACCAAGCCUGGAGUGCUAGCCCUGCCUCUGGGAAAACCACGUCCAUGAGCCAGCUGCCUGGAAACUGCUCAUCUUCAGACUGUAGCUCCUGGCACCUGUCUGUGGGGCAGCUCGCACCCCUCCCUAUGCCUCCUGCUCCUUUCCCGACCCUACCCCUACACAUUCACUCUGUGCUCAUAUUCCCCAGAGGGCAACGGCCUCACUACCUCUAUACGCUAGCUCCACGGCUACCAUUAUUGCUUAAUAAUUACUUGUUAUAAAAUAAUUAAUUCAGUAGUCUUUUUGUGACUAAAACUUUGGCUGGCUGUUAUAAAUGACUUUGAUUCUUGAAGAAUGUGUUGCUAUACUAGAUGCGGUUUUGCAAAAUAAACUUUCCAAAUGUGCAAUAGGAGUGGGGUAGAAGAGAUAAAAAGAGUUCUCGGGGUAGCUUGAGGGACUGCUGAGCUGGCUCCUCCUCCCCACCCAGUGGGAGCUUGGUCUCCAUGGUAAGGGUUUCUUUUCUGAGCUUAGGAAGCAGCAGCUGCCAGGGAGGACUGGGACAGCGCUGUGCAGCUGACUAGGGCCUUGCUAUUGGCCUCAAUGCUUUGCCCGUGUCUGGCUUGAUGCCCUGUCAGCCGCCUUAGAGCUGGCUGCCAGCCCCUGGCUACUCCCCAAGGUCUGGGGGUCACUUUGUGACAAACAGCCCUGAGAUUUGGGACUUGCUUUUUUCAUCCUCUUCCUGUUUUGCAGUUUCCUAUGUGCAAAAUUUCCUAUGAGCACCGGCCUCACUCCUCCUCCUCUUGGAGCCAAGCACCUGCCCUGGAGUCACCACCUCUGGUGGAAGCAAAGCAGGGAGCAGCAGCUGCAGGUGGCCUGGCCUCUUAGAGAGGCAGAACCACAGCUUCCAGGCCAGGAGUCCCCUGUGCUUCUCCUUUGCUAGCAAAACAAUAAACCUUCUUCCUUUU